UGAGGAAUAUUGGUCAAUGGAGGCAACUCUGAACCAGCCAUGCCGCGUGAAGGAUGACGGCCCUAUGGGUUGUAAACUUCUUUUAUAUGGGAAGAAACUUAUCUACGUGUAGAUAACUGACGGUACCAUACGAAUAAGGAUCGGCUAACUCCGUGCCAGCAGCCGCGGUAAUACGGAGGAUCCAAGCGUUAUCCGGAUUCAUUGGGUUUAAAGGGUCCGUAGGCGGAUUUUUAAGUCAGUGGUGAAAGCCGACAGCUCAACUGUCGAACUGCCAUUGAUACUGGAGAUCUUGAGUACAAAUGAAGUAGGCGGAAUGAGUCAUGUAGCGGUGAAAUGCAUAGAUAUGACUCAGAACACCAAUUGCGAAGGCAGCUUACUAACAUGUAACUGACGCUGAGGGACGAAAGCGUGGGGAGCGAACAGG
rnacentral:rRNA from 1 species